rnacentral:lncRNA from 1 species
CUACCCACAUCGUCUGUUAGCAUAAUUAACGAAUGUGAAUAAAUCCAUAAGCGCACAGAUACCAUUACAUCUUUCACCUCAAAGUAUUCCAAGGCUAUCGCAUCCAAGGGAAUGUGUGUGUAAUAACUCCAAGUUUAGUCAAUCCAAGAUAGGUGAAGAGGAUUCCUAAGGUGAUGAGGACAUCCCAACCAUGCAGGCCUCACCUACAUCGCCGACCUCCA